GCAGAAGUGAUGAAAUGGUAGCCAUGUGUAACUUAGGAUUACAUGUUAAUAGCGUGCGGGUUCAAGUCCCACCUUCUGCA
rnacentral:tRNA from 1 species